UACGGAGGGUGCGAGCGUUGUCCGGAAUCAUUGGGCGUAAAGGGCGCGUAGGUGGCCCGGUCAGUUCGUGGUGAAAGCGCGGGGCUCAACCCUGCGUCGGCCAUGAAUACUGCCGCGGCUGGAGCACUGUAGAGGCAGGCGGAAUUCCGGGUGUAGCGGUGGAAUGCGUAGAGAUCCGGAAGAACACCGGUGGCGAAGGCGGCCUGCUGGGCAGUAGCUGACGCUGAUGCGCGACAGCGUGGGGAGCAAACAGG
rnacentral:rRNA from 1 species